UACGUAGGGCGCAAGCGUUAUCCGGAAUUAUUGGGCGUAAAGAGCUCGUAGGCGGUUUGUCGCGUCUGCCGUGAAAGUCCGGGGCUCAACUCCGGAUCUGCGGUGGGUACGGGCAGACUAGAGUGAUGUAGGUGAGACUGGAAUUCCUGGUGUAGCGGUGAAAUGCGCAGAUAUCAGGAGGAACACCGAUGGCGAAGGCAGGUCUCUGGGCAUUAACUGACGCUGAGGAGCGAAAGCAUGGGGAGCGAACAGG
rnacentral:rRNA from 1 species